GGGAUUUGGAAAGCCUCAGGAUGUGUGUUUGAUACCUCUUGACCUUUUUAAUUUCCAUUUUAUUUGCAUGUUUCUCGAGGCAAUGGUUUAUGACUAUGUUUUCCACUGGGUCCUGAGUUCAAUCCUGUUGUGUGCUAUUUCAUUUUUCUAGCUUGUUUUAUUUUCUUCUUUUUCUAAGUUUCAACUAACUUUCUAUUUAUUUCAUUAUUUUUACCAUUUCAUUUUUUCUAAUGUUAUUUUAUUUUUAAUCAUUUAUAUAUAUAUUUUUUUUUUUAUUCUCACUUCUCCGACGCUUGUU
rnacentral:lncRNA from 1 species